GUGUGAAUUGGGAUUCCUGUUCUGUGCUACAGAAUGCAUUGUGACCGAUUGGUGCUGGUGCCAUCAACUGCCCCUCCUCGCUCCACGGUCUUCACAGGUCUCCACCCAGGAUUCCAAGUCCAGUAGAAGGAAGAGCGCCUGCUUGCCCACCAGUGGGAACCCAAGUCCAGGGCUGGCUUUCAUUGGCCAAAGGGCACAUCCCUGAACCAAUCACUGUGGCCAAAGGAGUGAGAUUCUCCGAUUGGUUAGGCUCAAGUCACAUGCCCACCUGGAGCUCAAGCAAGUGUGGGCUGAGCGGACAAAGACAGUUCCCCUGAGAAAAAUUGAGGUCCUGUUACUGGAAGGGUGAAAUAAUGCUGGGCAGCAAAAAUAACACGUGUAUUUUUCGGUUUGCUCAGAGCCUGACAUGUAAGAAAUGUUGGGGGG